rnacentral:rRNA from 1 species
GUCCUUUUGUUUACUUAGAAGGUCUGGCCUGCCCAGUGAGUAUUUAACGGCCGCGGUAUAUUGACCGUGCAAAGGUAGCAUAAUCAUUAGUCUUUUAAUAGGAGGCUGGAAUGAAAGGUUUAACGAAACAUAACCUGUCUUAUUUAUAUAAGAUAUAAUUUAAUUUUUAAGUUAAAAAGCUUAAAUUUUAUUGGUGGACGAGAAGACCCUAUAGAGCUUUAUAUUACUUAUUUUAAUAUUACUUUGUUUUAUAAUUUGAUAUUAACUUAAUUAUUAUUUUGUUGGGGUGACAAGAAUAUAUACUUAACUUUUAUUUUUAAUUAACAUUAAUAUAUGAUUAUUGGAUCCAUUAUUAUUGAUCAUCAGAUUAAGUUACCUUAGGGAUAACAGCGUAAUCUUCUUUCAGAGUUCAAAUUUACAAGAAGGCUUGCGACCUCGAUGUUGGAUUAAGAUAAUAAUUAGGUGCAGUAGCUUAAUUAAUAGGUCUGUUCGACCUUUAAAUUCUU